GUGCUCGCUUCGGCAGCACAUAUACUAAAAUUGGAACGAUACAGAGAAGAUUAGCAUGGCCCCUGCGCAAGGAUAACUCCGAUAGAAUUUUGAGAAUACUGUGUUCUU
rnacentral:snRNA from 1 species